rnacentral:rRNA from 1 species
AGCGGCAGCGCGGGGGCAACCCUGGCGGCGAGCGGCGAACGGGUGAGUAACAUAUCGGAACGUACCCCGUCGUGGGGGAUAACACAGCGAAAGCUGUGCUAAUACCGCAUACGACCUGAGGGUGAAAGCGGGGGACCGUAAGGCCUCGCGCGAUGGGAGCGGCCGAUAUCGGAUUAGCUUGUUGGUGAGGUAAAGGCUCACCAAGGCGACGAUCCGUAGCUGGUCUGAGAGGACGACCAGCCACACUGGAACUGAGACACGGUCCAGACUCCUACGGGAGGCAGCAGUGGGGAAUUUUGGACAAUGGGGGCAACCCUGAUCCAGCCAUUCCGCGUGAGUGAAGAAGGCCUUCGGGUUGUAAAGCUCUUUCAGCAGGAACGAAACGGUGGCCCCUAAUACGGGCUACUAAUGACGGUACCUGAAGAAGAAGCACCGGCUAACUACGUGCCAGCAGCCGCGGUAAUACGUAGGGUGCGAGCGUUAAUCGGAAUUACUGGGCGUAAAGCGUGCGCAGGCGGUUAUGUAAGACAGGUGUGAAAUCCCCGGGCUCAACCUGGGAACUGCGCUUGUGACUGCAUAACUCGAGUGUGGCAGAGGGGGGUGGAAUUCCACGUGUAGCAGUGAAAUGCGUAGAGAUGUGGAGGAACACCGAUGGCGAAGGCAGCCCCCUGGGUCAACACUGACGCUCAUGCACGAAAGCGUGGGGAGCAAACAGGAUUAGAUACCCUGGUAGUCCACGCCCUAAACGAUGCGAACUAUGUGUUGGGGAAGGAGACUUUCUUAGUACCGCAGCUAACGCGU